CAGUCGCCACGGGAAUACGUAGGUGGCAAGCGUUGUCCGGAAUUAUUGGGCGUAAAGCGCGCGCAGGUGGUUUAAUAAGUCUGAUGUGGAAGCCCACGGCUCAACCGUGGAGGGUCAUUGGAAACUGUUAAACUUGAGUGCAGGAGAGAAAAGUGGAAUUCCUAGUGUAGCGGUGAAAUGCGUAGAGAUGUGGAGGAACACCAGUGGCGAAGGCGACUCUCUGGUCUGUAACUGACGCUGAGGAGCGAAAGCGUGGGGAGCGAACAGGAUUAGAUACCCCUGUAGUCCCUGUCUCUUAUAC
rnacentral:rRNA from 1 species